rnacentral:rRNA from 1 species
CUACGGGCGGCUGCAGUGGGGAAUAUUGGACAAUGGGGGAAACCCUGAUCCAGCAAUGCCGCGUGUGUGAAGAAGGCCUGCGGGUUGUAAAGCACUUUCGGUUGGGAGGACUGCUUCUAGCACUAAUAUUGUUGGAAGUUGACGUUACCUUCAGAAGAAGCACCGGCUAACUCCGUGCCAGCAGCCGUGGUGAAUACGGAGGGUGCAAGCGUUAAUCGGAAUUACUGGGCGUAAAGCGCGCGUAGGCGGCUAGAUCAGUCGGGUGUGAAAGCCCCGGGCUUAACCUGGGAACUGCAUCCGAUACUGUCUAGCUUGAGUACAGGAGAGGAGAGUGGAAUUCCACAUGUAGCGGUGAAAUGCGUAGAUAUGUGGAGGAACACCAAUGGCGAAGGCAGCUCUCUGGCCUGAUACUGACGCUGAGGUGCGAAAGCGUGGGGAGCAAACAGGAUUAGAUACCCUAGUAGUC